CACAAGGAAGCAUGUCUGUCUACAGAUGAUUCUGCUAGUAUAAUGGGAAUUAUGUACACAAGGAAGCAUGUCUGUCUAAAGGUGAUCCUGCUAGUAUAAUGGGAAUUAUGUACACAAG